AAAACUUUAAAGAGAGAAGUUGAAAAUUAGCAAUCCAUCACCAAAAAAAAUCCAAUACUGUAGUACAGUGAAUAAAAGUCAUGUAUCAACGGUCUGUACAACAUGGACAGUUAAACCUUUUUUAAUUUAAUUCAAACAACAAAAGAGAAAACAAGCAGAUUGAGAUGUCCUUCGACGAUGCUUGAUGACGUGGCAGCCGAGACAUGCAGCAUUCUAGGACGCAGCCUUAUUAAAAAAAAAAUUUAAAAAAAUGGACGCAGCCUUAUUUAUUUUUAUUUUAUAUAUGUAUAAUGUACCCCCUGACUGAACUUGUAUUUCUUAUUAUUUAAAAAAAUAUAUUAAAAAUAUUUUUAAAAGAACGCAGCUGUGCGUUUGAGAAACGACCGGAAACGACUUAUAUGUCGCGAGGCCAUCACGUGACCAUAAUAUUUACCAGAAGACCGUUAUUUGCUCGAGUUCCCUCAACUUUUUUGUCGCAAAUAACAUUAUUAAUAACCUGUAAAUAAUAAAAUUUGUACACAUUACGUUCCUCUUCACGUUGUAAUAGUAUGUUUUUGGUUUAAUAGUCGGCUUUAAGUUAGUUUUUCUGUCAGUUUGAUCGUCAAAAUCUUGAAAGUUAUCUACAGCCACACAUCCACUGUAUACCAAGUUAUGAUGAUCAAUUAUGAGAAUGCAAAAGGAUUUAUAGAUCAGUAAACAAUCAACAAAAAGAUGGGUGCUCAUGGUGGCCUCCAAAUAAAUACAUGGACAGGCUGCUAAAGAGGGUCAGGAUGAUGGAGAUGCAAGAGCCAAAGACAGCACGGACCAAACACCAGGCCAGAAUUCUGCAUGAGUCAGUUUCCAGGCUUUUUCACAAAGUUGCCGACAACUGGAAGAAUGUCCCAAAUUGCUGAAAAAAGAAAUUCAAUUGAGUAAUUUUCACUCUAGAGACCCUGGGGUGACCACCAGGGACGAAUGAAAACUCCAGUGAGUGUCUCUAAGGUAGAUCCUAAUGCAGAUGGAUGGAAUGUUGAUCCGCCUAACAUGCAAGAUUUUCUGUACCGAGAACUUUGGAUGACCAUCAAGACAAGCACUCGUUUUGAGUCCUGAGACCCUGGGGUGACCACCGUGAACAAAUACAGACUGCAAAAAGGCAGUCUUGACGGUUCUAGGAUGAAUGCAAAUAAAGACUGACCACCUGACUUCAGCGGUCCAGUCUCUUGUGGGAAGCAGGUGUUUGUUACCCCAAAUACGGAUGAAGAGUGACGAAGAGGAUGAUGACUU